GGACGAACGCUGGCGGCGUGCUUAACACAUGCAAGUCGAACGGAAAGGCCCUGCUUUUGUGGGGUGCUCGAGUGGCGAACGGGUGAGUAACACGUGAGUAACCUGCCCUUGACUUUGGGAUAACUUCAGGAAACUGGGGCUAAUACCGGAUAGGAGCUCCUGCUGCAUGGGGGGGGUUGGAAAGUUUCGGCGGUUGGGGAUGGACUCGCGGCUUAUCAGCUUGUUGGUGGGGUAGUGGCUUACCAAGGCUGUGACGGGUAGCCGGCCUGAGAGGGUGACCGGCCACCUUGGGACUGAGAUACGGACCAGAAUCCUACGGGAGGCAGCAGUGGGGAAUAUUGCACAAUGGGCGGAAGCCUGAUGCAGCAACGCCGCGUGCGGGAUGACGGCCUUCGGGUUGUAAACCGCUUUCGCCUGUGACGAAGCGUGAGUGACGGUAAUGGGUAAAGAAGCACCGGCUAACUACGUG
rnacentral:rRNA from 1 species